rnacentral:rRNA from 1 species
GAUGAACGCUGGCGGCGUGCCUAAUACAUGCAAGUCGAGCGAACAGACUAGGAGCUUGCUCCUCUUACGUUAGCGGCGGACGGGUGAGUAACACGUGGAUCACCUACCUAUAAGACUGGGAUAACUUCGGGAAACCGGAGCUAAUACCGGAUAAUAUAUUGAACCGCAUGGUUCAAUAGUGAAAGACGGUUUUGCUGUCACUUAUAGAUGGAUCCGCGCCGCAUUAGCUAGUUGGUAAGGUAACGGCUUACCAAGGCAACGAUGCGUAGCCGACCUGGGAGAGUGAUCGGCCACGCUGGAACUGAGACACGGCCCAGACGCCUACGGGAGGCAGCAGUAGGGAAUCUGCCGCAAUGGGCGAAAGAAUGACGGAGCAACGCCGCGUGAGUGAUGAAGGUCUUCGGAGCGUAAAACUCUGUUAUUAGGGAAGAAAAAAUGUGUAAGUAACUAUGCAGGUAUUGACGGUACCUAAUCAGAAAGCCACGGCUAACUACGUG